rfam:Aerococcus sanguinicola strain CCTG43001, complete genome.
AAAAUAAUUCAAUACUUACCGAAGACAGUUAGUGGCCCAAGCCUUAAUUUCUAACCGAGGGAGAUCGAGAUUCACCGCAUCAGGUGUUAGAUAGUUCUCUAUGUCUUCAGUGACAUGGAGUUUUUUUAUUGCUCGG